rnacentral:rRNA from 1 species
UGGGGAAUAUUGGACAAUGGGGGCAACCCUGAUCCAGCCAUGCCGCGUGAGUGAUGAAGGCCUUCGGGUUGUAAAGCUCUUUUGGCGGGGACGAUGAUGACGGUACCCGCAGAAUAAGCCCCGGCUAACUUCGUGCCAGCAGCCGCGGUAAGACGAAGGGGGCAAGCGUUGUUCGGAAUUACUGGGCGUAAAGCGUGCGCAGGCGGUUUUGUAAGACAGAUGUGAAAUCCCCGGGCUUAACCUGGGAACUGCGUUUGUGACUGCAAGGCUGGAGUACGGCAGAGGGGGGUGGAAUUCCACGUGUAGCAGUGAAAUGCGUAGAGAUGUGGAGGAACACCGAUGGCGAAGGCAGCCCCCUGGGCCUGUACUGACGCUCAUGCACGAAAGCGUGGGGAGCAAACA